GGAGGAAGGGGCACCUGUGGGCUGGCAGCCACAUGUCGGAGCCCCCCGCCCCGGAAGCGGCUGCCUGCAUCGCGCCUCAUAGCACGGAGCAGACGCCGUGCCUUCCCUUCGUCUCUGCCCUGCGUUGCUGCAGCGGGGUUUCUUCCUUGCUGCUCUUCGGAUACCUUUGCGAAUGAUAAAAGCCUCUUCUCUUGCUGGGUGGUGGGUAGAUUUGGAACCUCAAUUCUCUGCUGCUAAUUCCUGCCCAUGAAGGUUAGCGGUGGGGUUGUUGCUCAGGAGUAGAGUGCUUGCACCAGGUAGGGUGGGGUGAGCUCCUUCCUGUAACCUUGGAGUAUUUGCUGCCAAAGACUGGGCUGGAUGGAGCAAUGGUCAGGCUUGGCAUCGGGCAGGUUUCUAUGUCCCUCCCUCCCUCCUUGCGAUGGUAACAAAGUAGGUGUUUCCUGCCUUCUAACCUUUCCGAAGCGUUUGUAAUCAGUGAUGUGCUUCUCUUUCUGCAUCUGCGAAAGUUUUCCUCUGCGCAAAGGCUAGCGUGACUGCAUGUAGCUGUCCUGGAACUUGGUCACACCAGUGGAUGGGUUAAAGGACUGUUUCAGUGCUAGGAAGCCCCUUUACCAAAACAAAAUGUGAAAAACAAAGUAAUUUCUUCUGGGGGGGGGGUGUGAUACCCAUCUCCUGGCACAGCUUCUUCCUCGCUUCCUCCCCACCCCUUAAAAAGAGCAGCUCUGUUCAGUUCGGAAUCGUGUUAGCAGAAAAAGCUGCACAGAUUAGGUUUCAGAAUGUGCUAUUGUUUAUGAUCCCAUUGUCCAAUCACUGGAUAGCUGUUCCAGCAAAUGCAGCAGCAGGCUGAAAUACUGAUGAAUGGGCAAAAUGUUUCAUGUUUGGUCUCACUUUGACCUUGGAGAAAUUCUAACCACUAGUGAAUUGUUCCUGGGUAAAGAGUCGCGACUAGUGACAGUUUAACAGUUCAGUCCUGUGUACAUCGCAAAAAUAAGUUCUAGUAAGUUCAGUUGGGGUUACUUUCUGGUAAGUGUGGGUAGGAUUGUUGGCUAAAAGUGGCUUAUAUUUAUUUUUAAUUGUGUAUCCUUUUGAAGAAAACAGUCUAAGUUAUGAAAAUGUGCUGACAGUGAAACAGUGCUCUGUAAUUAUUCGACAUAUGUAAAAUUAUCAAGAUGUUGACAGUUAUUAGCAAGUUGCCAUUUGUGCUAAUUCUGAAUAAAUCAACUACAGGAUGCUCAAUUGAAAGCACCCCAGGAUCUAGCAAAUGCAAAGAUGUGGCAUGCUGUCAUUCUGCAGUCUGUAUUUAAAUCCUUUGUGCUUGUGAGGAGUCAAGGACAGAUUGUGAGUAAAGCCUCGUUUUCUUCCCUUUCCAGCUGGAUUUUGGAUGACUAUUAAUGAGUUGCUAGAAGCCUAGAAGAUACUGACAUUGUUCAUCUUGUGGUUUUGUACUUACUUGCUUUCAGCUGGCAUCCUUAUUUAUAGUAAAGGUUGAUGAGUGCUUGGAAAGAGGAUGUCGGAUUCUUUAGCGAUCUGGCUGAUGUACAAAACUCAGUGUUAUUUCCUAUUUCUUUCUCGAACCCUCCCUGGUAUGUAACGUCCUAAAAUAAAUCAGUAUGCCUUCCCUGUUCCCAAGCUUAGGGUUUGUUUUUUUUAGCAGCCACAUUAUACAAAUGUAUGUUUUGCUCAGGUUUAAAAUCAGCAAUUCAAGGACAAGGGUAUUGGUAGAUUGAUGUGCCAUAGUACAUACUUCACCUCUGAGUAGCAACGAGAUAUUAUUUUACUUGCUGGUUAGUUGCUAUUACAGAUCUUUUGCAGCACCUUUAAAUGUUGCUGGGCUUUCAGGUAUAGUUGAAAGUAUGGAUAGCGGUUGCCAAGUGGGCCCGAGACAGUGGAGGAGAGGAAAUGGGUAAGCUGAUAGCUUUUACUGGAUUGCUACUGUAAGAGACAGUGUGCUAAUACUGUAUAUGUUGCUUCCAGACAAUCUGCCUACCAACCAAUAUGCAGGGAGUCUAUCACCAUAACAGUCCAAAUUUACCUUAUUCCAUGAACCUGAACACCCCUCUUUGGCUUCUGCAGAAGAAAAUUAAGGAGAUGCAAUCAGUGACAUUCAGAUCACAGCAUACGAUAGCAUAUGAAUGAGCAUACUUUAAACAUAUCUCAGAAAUUUGGAAGAUAUUGGCCUAACCAGACUGUCUGCAGAAAUGUGUCUGGCUCCCAGGGACACAUCACAAGGUAUGUUUAAGAUCACUCACUUUGAAGCAAUGACAGGAGAGAGGCUAAUUUCAGAUCGAGUUUUUAAGCAAAGUGAAUUGAUUUCAUUUAUGAAAAUUCAUCUAGGCUGGAUCUUUGCUUAAGGGUGUAUGAACGCCUAAUAGCAGGGCCUGGGCUUAUGUACUUAGGGAUGUAGUGGUUGUGCUCAUUUACUGGGCAAUUCCCCUGUAGCUGUCCAGAUUCAGGCAUGUUGCUUGGUGAGUCAACAACAAGGGUGUUAAAGUUGGUCACACUGAGUCUCCCAAAGUCAAGGAAGGCAAGCUGUAGCUCCCCUAUUUACUGACUGAAGCUCCCUAUGGGGAAAAAAGGGGGAAAAAUGAGGGAAAAAAUCCCCCUUCCCUUUUUUGCAUGACAUUCCAUGCUCUGUGGCUGGAUAGGAUUGGUUCUCUUUUAUUACUAUUCUUUCCUAAUAACCCUAAGUAUAGAAGUAAUUAGUCUUGUGUCUUUAAGAGGAUGAACGGCAGAGAACAUUCAAGUAAAGUUAAGCUUAAUCCAUAUAAGACAUAAGAUUUGGAGUUCAUCUUUAAUGCUGAAUUUUUACUUGGCUGUCAGUUUAACAUACUGAAAGGUCACAAUAUGUUGGGCUUCAUUUAAUACGAUUGCCUUUUAAAGUGUGUGUGUGUGUUUGUUUGUUUGUUUAUUUCACAGAACCCCACAGCCAGGUUGCAAUGAAACAAACUUUCUAGCUUGUUUGCUUAAACCCUUUUGGAUGUAAAAAAAUUGAACUAUAAUCCAGUGACACAUUAAAAACCACAAGUGCUUAUUCGAUGGCAUGACUACAGAUUCAGCAAGAAAGAACCAAGAUUUCAUUAUCCCUCUUUACUCGUGGUCAAUUAAUCACAAGUCUACUGAGAUAGUCACUCAGAUGAAUAGUCACUUAACUGUUUUUCAAAAAAUGGUUUAGAAAGAACAAAGUAUUAAAGUAGCACUUUGUCAGUUUUCUGUGUAAAGCUUGAUAGUUUAUUUCUAAGUGGUUGGGAAUUCAGUAUUGGGCCUAACACCAAGUUCAGACCUGCUGAAGCUCAAAUGACACGUGCUUAUGGCAGGCCUCAUUCGUUACACUUUUGCUUGUUUUCUCUGCUCAUUCGGCAACUGCAGAGUCACCCACAUGCUUCAGGACUUAAGAGCCACCGUUCUGGAUCAGCUCAAGGGUUCGUCUAGAGCAGCAUUCUGUUCGCACAGUGCACUGCCUGUGAGAUGCCCAGAAAUAGGAUGUGAAUGCAGCAGCUCCUUCCCAGCUGUGUCCCUCAUGUCUUCCGUACCACUUCAGAGGUGGCAUCUCACGCUUGGGACAAGUAGGCGCGGGCAGCCUCAUCCUCUGUGGCUUCGUCUAACUUCCUUUUUAAAGCCAUCCAAGUUGGUGGCUGCCCAUCACUACAUGUGGUAGCGAAUUCCAUAGUUUAGCCUCAGAGUGGACCAAAAAGAGUUAUACAACAACUGGCCAGGUCACAUUUGAUCUCUUAGAUGCUCCGAGUGUCCUCCGUCAGCGUUGCACCAUUCCUGGAACCUGUCUCCAACCCUGUGACACACAUUCCAGUUAGCGCCAGCUGGAAUACUCGUAUGUACCCAUAUGUGCUAUGCCAGGAAGUACUUUCUUUUAUCUGUCCUGAACCUGCCAUCAUCCAGCCGCAUGGGAUGACCCUGGCUCUAGGAUAAUGGGAGAAAGAGAAAAAUGUCUUGCUAUCUGUUUUUGCUGUACCAUGCAUAAUUUGGUCUACCUCAAUUGCAUCUUGCCCUGCUCGCCAUUUUGUUAAGCAAAGCAGUGACCCAAACAGUAACUGCCUUAUAUUGUUGUAGUUAGGAAAACAUGGCACUGGCUAUAGAACACACAGUUCUCUAAGUGCUGUACAGAUUAUUAUCAUUAUAACUUUGCAAUACGGUAAUGUUUUAUCAAUAUACUUUCUUGGGCAUAGCUCAUCACUGAUUAUGUCAUUUAGUACUGAAGUACUAGAAAGAGUAGAGAGUUCAUACUACAGUGGGAAAAUGGAAUAAACUAGUUUAGACUCAUUCCUUAGCUGGAAUCUUUGUGGCCAGUGUCUUUUUAAAGUAUAAGCUUGAUUCUGCAAGAGCUGGCAGAUACGUAGCUGAUACUCCAUCACUGUGCUGCGCGACAAUGACACUUUUUUGAGCCGAUAAGCCUUGGCAUUGAACAGGCAUUUGCACGAGAAUACAAAUGCACUGCAAGGUCUCUGCCUUCAUUAAUAAGGGGAAACUGUAUAUGCUCUAUCGCGUUAGUGACUUUAUUGAAAAGGUAUCUAUCUCAUAUCUGUGCAAGUAUGAUGCAUCACUUAUGUUAGCAUUGAAAAAAGGAUAAAUGCUCAACUGAAGCAAGACCUGCAGUGAUACCCAGCAGGUUAUGGGCGUGUAAGAUGACAUGCUGGAAAAAGUGGUGCAAAGUAAGGCUUCAUAGGUUCCCCUGUUCUGCCUUAAAAAUAAUCGGAAUAAUUUAUUUACUUGUCUCCAAUUUAUAUUUGCCCUGUAGUGGCUAAUAAGAAAUUUUAGGACAGCUUACGAAAGAAUAAUGAUUACAAAUAUUACAAAACAAACAGAACAGUGCAGUAUUUGCGCAGAAGAAAAUUCCAGUCAAGAAAAAGUCAAGUUUAAAAGUGUUACAGUUAGUCAUGGUUAAAUGUUUGAGAUGCCCUUCCGUGGACUUUUCCUGCCCCUCGGCUCUUCCUGCCAGCAGCAAUGACUUCAGUGGGACUGACCAGGAGAAGAGUGCACACCGUUAUGCCUAUCCCUGGGUUAUUUGGGAGUCACAAGCCAUGAAUCAGGUUUGGAGUUAAUGCUUUUUCUUGCAGGCAAGUUCCUGUAAUCAGAAUUGCUCCUGACAUACAGGAGGAACCGAGCAGGAGUGAACAAGCAGCGCGUGCCAGCCAGCUGGUCAAUGGCAGACUAGCAUUGUCCGUAUUUGUGGCCAUGCCUUGGAACAAACUUGGAAGCAUUAUUCCUUUACUCUUACUGGAGGCAGAGGCUGAGAAAAUGUUACCUAGUUAAUGGCUGUUUAAUAAAAAGUAAAAUACUUAGUGGCUGAGCUGAGAUUUGAACUGCAGACUUCUCAGUUCGUGUUCCUACUAUUAUCUUUCUAAUUUGGUAUGGGCAAUUUCUGCCCUGCAGGAAUUCUUUGUGGUACAGCAGUGUGUGUGUGUGCGCAUAAUUUAUAUGUGCUUAAUAAAGAAUGUUCUGUGUUCCAAAAUGUACUGAUCUGGGAAACCUGGCAUUAAGCUAUUCAAUCUUAAUUUUUCUUAUGCUGCAGAAAGUUUCCAAAUGAUGAGUGUGAAGCAGCUGGCUAUGAUCUACCUCCUUUUAAAGUGUGUAUUUUCUGUACAUGCUCCCUUUUCAUUGGUAUUUUGGAGCAGGUGUGAAUUGGCUAGAUGUGCAUUUGGUCCCUGCUUCUGUAUGGUGCAAUACAUUUAGAACUGAAUUGAUCUGCGUUUGAUUUCUGCCAUCCACUCAGAAAGCCUUCCUUAUUUGUCUUUUUAGUGUGCAUGUAAGUAUGGGUAGUCCUUUCUUUUGUACCUCUGGCAGAAUUAAUGGGUACUGAUGAGUACUGAUGCUAUAGCUCUGAUAGGGCCAAAUUAGAGGAGGCUGCUUUGUGUUUUUGAAUGGAACUGCUCUGAUAACCUGAUUGUGUGGAAAGGGGUUCCUCAGCAGUGUCUGCAGGGGGGGAGCUGCCUUCUGCAGUUUCUCUGUGUGAGUGUCAGGGUCCCAGGCCACUGAGGCAAGACAGAGGCACCAGGACCAGGGCAACAAAGCUUGAGGCGAGACAGAGUCCAAAGUUUAAUGCGAGGCUUCAUGGCAAGUCCAAGUUAUAAUCACAGAGCGAUCUGAGGCCAGGAACAAGGAGUAUGUAAUAGGAGCAAGACAAGUCAUGGGCAAGCCAAGGGUCAGAAACAGGAAGAUAAACCGGUGGAGCACCUUGAGGUAGGAUAACUGGGCAGGAUGAGUGGCAAAGGUUAGGCAAAAUGCAGGCACUGCAGCAAGCAGGAGGACCUGUGAUGCCGAGGCAACCUGGCAAGGGUCAGGUAGGAUGCAGGUACUACAGCAGAGAGGAAGGCUUGUGUUUCGGAGGCCAGUUUUUGUCUAGCUCUUCCCCAAGGUCUCCCAGGACGAGGCUGGGAGCUCCAGCAGGGCCUGGGGCCCAUCGUGCGAACAUGGUUGUCGUUCUUCUGGUUCUGGUCACCGGAGCAGCCCAGAUAUCGACAGCGAGUACUUCUGGCUCUGAUACAAUAAAUGCCAACUGGAAGAAAGGCAAAUGGAGGAGGGCUGCAGAGGGGCUAGCAGUGUGCACAGGUUCUCACAGUCCUCAGUAAGGCACCUCCUCUUGUUUUGGGCCCAAACUCACAAGUGCACCCUCUGGGAAUUUUGAUGCAGGACACAUCAAAUUGGUGAGACACUUUUAUUGCAGCAAAUCUUACAGUAAAACCUUAAUGAAAUCAUAUAGCUGGUGAUAAUUUCACAGCAAUUCCUUUAAGUAAUUUUACAACAAUCCACAGCUCAUAAUCUGUAAGCUGUCUGAGAUCUGGGCAACUCGGUUUGCCCUUUGGAAUCAUCACCGCUCACAGUCCAGGUUGAGAAACUGAAGGAUGCCCGAGUGUAGCCCAGACGAUCCAACACAAGCGUUCUUGCUAGAAAAGGAGCAGAAUUAAGCUGCACGUGCAAAGGUUUACUCCAACCCCGGGAAUCUUCAUUUGAACAUUCACAUUAUAUCAGUCCUGGCCUGUCACAUCCACGAGUCAAAAGAAGUUCACCGGUAAGUCCAGAGAAAACCUCAUACAGACUGACUGACCAUCAUGGCUUUCACCUUGCUUUUUCCAUGCUACAUGGGGCCAGGCAUCAAAAAAAUCCAAGAUUCGACGUCAGUCCAAGCCAUCUGGCAAAUCUAAACUAUCAAGGAUGAAGUUCCACAAGCCAUCACAAACAGGAAUUCACAUCCUGUGAAUAGCAUAGCAGUAUAUUUCUUGGCAGGAUAUCUAUUAUCCAAAGCUGCUUUUGGUAACAGUAGUUGUUGUUAUCUUAGAAUGCCUUGCCUAAGCAGUCCUUGGGACCUCAUCCGCUCAGAGCUCCAGUUUGCCCCCAGAGCUGACAGUUCCUUAAAUGGUACCUUGAAGGAGAUGUGUGAUGGGAUUUCUGUAUGUAUAAUUCCUGAUGGGAAAACAGUAUAUGAAGGCCACAAAAUCCUGUCUUCCAGACCCAAAUCAAACCCUUUCCCCCCUCCACCCCAAUGGCUGAUAUUUACACAGAACACAAUGAUGGAAGUGAUGGUGUGCUUAAUAUUCCAUCUAGUCUGGCACUCAGCGGAGGCAGGGUUUUUCCCAACAGCCCACAGUGUAACUAAUUUACUUUUCUGCCUCCCCCCCCCACUCUUGUGCGCCAAGAUAAUAUGAAUUGUUAAUGAGUCAUUACUCUGUUUCUAUUUAAUUUGGGGUGCAUUUUUGCAUUUCUAGUACUUUGAGAUUUCAUUUAAUAUACUUUCCUCUAUUGCACAUCAGAGAGCAAAACGGAAGCACCCUUGGGCAGAGAUUAUCCUGGUAGAGGUACUUUUUGUAUGCAUGGCGUCUCUUCCUAAGCAUUUGAGAUUCAGUGCCAGCGGGUACCACGUUCAGAUUGAAUUCACUUUGCACACUGCACUUGCUGUCAUUCUGUGUAAUCUCCUUUAUGAAGUCAGUACAGAACAAGAAAAAAGAAAACUGGUUAAAAUGGGAAUGGGAAGCCGAAUGUGCAGAGUGGCUGUCGUGUUCUGUGUGGUGAAAUAACGUGGCUUCCUGGGUUCCCUUGGUUAUUUGCACAAGAUGUUGUUUUCAGGAAAAAAAAUGCUAGGUAGACAGGUAGUCCAUGUUCUUACAGGAUGGCAAUACAUAUUCAGCUUUUAAAAAUGCUUUCCCCAAAGAAAUGCAUCUGGGAAUCACGAAUAAGUGUCCUUCUUGUUACGUUUCCUUAGGAAUCAGCAAAUACUUGGUAAGUCUUCUUGUGAAUUGUCAGUAAAACAGAAGACUGGUGUCCUCAUCCUACCUAGCAACUUGCCACCAAAUCGGGACAGGACGUUAAUGAAGAAAGGAUAUGAAAUUAGAACGUUUCCCAUGCUACAGUCUUCCCCUAGGGCCAAACCUGUUGGGGUCUUUUAUGUACACUUAGGGGUUUGUAUAGCUUUUCAUACAUGCAAGCAACUGUGUUUUUAUUGUCCUUGUAUGUAUCUGGAACAGGCUGCAGACGUUGCAGAGCUUCUCCUGUCCAUGAGAAAUAAAUUCAGAUAAACUUGAAUUCAGAUAAAAUGUGCUCACAUUUCAUGGCAAGGUUGCAGAUUUCAUGAGACUUACCAGAGUAAUAUUGUAGCUGUUCUGGUGUGCGUACACACAUCUAUCUUCAUGAGAUACUGAACAGUGUAUUCCAUGCUGAACUGAAAUAUAUUAUUUAAAAUAUUAUCCUGGAUAUAAUUGAGAUGCACUGUUUAUGGAAUGUGCUGUUACAGUUUUUGUAGUUUGUUAGUCUAGCUGAGUUUUCCAAAUUUCUGCCAAAGUAUAUUACAGAUAUAUAGAACUUUUAUAUAAUCCUGCAGGGAAGCACUGGUUGCUCAUGAAAUUCAAAUUAAUCCCAUGUAGAUUUGUUAAACAGUAGUAUCUCCUGUCUGAGAUUAAUGCAGUCAGAUGUAGCUUAUGUUGACUUUGGAUGACCUGUGAAUUUUUUCCCUACCCACCUGCCACUUGAAGCUUUUGUGCUUGCGAAGGACCAGCGCCAGUGGAAAGCAUGUGUCAUUUUUCUUCCUUUUGUAUCUUUUUCUGGAGAGCUGAAGCACUGCCGGCUUUGUGCUGUCCACUUUUGCCUUUGGUUUGCCUGCCUUUCGUCUAGGAACAAAAUGAGUUCUGAAUUCGCUGUCGCCUUUCUGCUUGGGGGAAUCUUAACACAAGUGCAUUCCGUAUAAUAGAUUUUUGUGAAUCCUUGCUAUUACCUUCUAGAAGUUGAAGAGAGAUGUGUGGGAGAAAACUAGUGCUCAAAUAAUGGAGAUGGGCAGCAGGAACAGCAGGGGGUCCUUAAUAAGCCCCCCCCCCAAGCAUCAUCUAAGAAAGUCAUGACAAAAUUUAAGGCAGUCUGGCUCCCCCGGUCUCCCAGUAACGGGAGCUCUUGCAGCAACCUAUGCUGUGCACUGGGAUGGUGUGGGGAGCAGGUACCUUGGCCUCUAAUGCAAAACUUGACAGAGUAUGACUGUGACAGCUGGAGGAGCAACAGGGAGAGAUUUGUGUGGGCUCGCUGUGAGGCCUUCUCCAGGGUGGUGGCAACAGUUGCAAUACCACAGCUUGGCAUUCCGUCGAGCUUUUUGGGGUGGCAAGGGGCUCGUGAGGUCUUUACGUGGGGUGCAGAGACCCACCUGUAUGCAUGGUGUGACCAGCUGGCAAAACACGUUGUGGAUUGCUCACAUCUAGAUCUGUGAUUGUUGCAUCUGCAAGUAUGUCCAGUGUCCAGCUUGCCCUGGAUAUGGACCAGGUUCAUGGAUAUUCAAGGCUGACUGCCUGCAUUCUUGACCAUUUCCUGUUCUGCUGAAUUAUAACAGACUUCUUGGAUGUUGUACCUGGAUUUUGAAAAUCCCUUAGGCUUCCUUCCUCUGUCAUACCAAUUUCCUCUCAGACUUUUUGCUCAUUGGCGAAGACCAUCUUGUUUAGUUGUGCCUUGAGUUAGACAUUGUUCUUCCUGAUUGACUCUGGCUUUUGCCAAAGGUGGACUAGAAUAUUGAAAAGUAAUCAGUAAUUUGAACUUUAAAGAACUUGCAGUAUUUUGAAAAGCUAGGACUGUAGCAAAAAUGGACAUCAAGGCUGAAAUUCUAUAGACGUUGAUCCCAUAUUUAUCUGGGAGACGUAUUGAACUUGUUGGGGCUUACUUCAAGGUAGACACAUAUGGAAUUGCACUGUAAAUGUCAAUGACAUGGCGGAGUACUUGUCCUGCUGAUAAAUGCACAACCUGUUGUCUGCUUUGCAAUUUAUGGAGCAAAGGAAUUUGCCGGUAAGAGAUGAGGUAUGCUCACCAUACUGUUCCCCAGAAGGUCUAUUUAAUUACAGCAGUUUGAGUAAUUUCAUUUGUCAAGGCAGUUCAUUCCUCAGACAUGUGAAUUUUUUCUUACAUAAAUCAAAUACUCUGAAUUUGGGUAGAGAUGAAAUGGGGGUGAAAACUAACACAAGAAUUGCUUUGUUGGAUUAGAACAAGACACAUCUACAGCAGCAUCCGUUUUCUGGGAGCAGCCAGCCAGUUUGGUCCACAAAACUAAAAAAAGCAGAGCCAAAAGACUGUCUUUCCCAAUUCCCCCUCCCCUCCAAUUGAUUCUCAGGUAUGCUGCCUCCGAACAAGGACAUUCCAUUUGGUUCCAUUGGUGAAUGGCUGUUGACAGAUCCAUUUUCCAUGAUUAAACCCUUUUAAUGUCAUCUGAGUCAGUGCUUUUGCAUCAUUGCAUUGGAUGUCAUAAACUACGCAUUGUGUAGAGAAACUUUCUUUGGUUGUCCAGGAUCUGCUGUGUCAUUGGGUAAUGAAUUCUAGCUUUAGGAACACAGAAGAAAUUUUUUUCUUCUUCCUGGGUGUGACUCUUGAUCACAUUUACUUUGUAUUUUAUUCCCCUAAACCAAGAAGCCUUGAGAUAUGAAGGGAUGACACCUUAGAGACGUUAUGGUUACCUCUGUUAAAGACCAGAUAUUGGACGGGAAGGACUUUUGGUGUGAUUCAACAGGACUUAAGGUAGAGGGUGGUUAAAAGAAGCUCAGUCUGAGAAGGUGUAGAGAAGAUUAGCAUAAUUGCGUGACUGGAACAUUGUGAAAGGUCUGUAGAGUCGUCCAAAACCUUUUUGGUUCCGAGGCUGCAUUCGGUGUGCACACACGCAUUUGCAUGUGUGCGCGUGCACACACGUGUGUGCAAGGCGUCUGCAAUCACGGAAGGGAAAUAAGCUACAGUCACUUAUUUUAUCUUCCCCAUAUACCAGAGGUGUCCUCAGCAAUGCGGCUUGUUGUGUCAUGCAAACCUGGUCCAGGUGGCUUGACCCCUGAGUGACAAGCCACGCAGAACCGAACAGCAGCCUGUGGAUUCUGGCCAGCGCGAUCGCCAUGGCAGCCAGCCCCUCUGGCCAGCUUGGCAAGACCCAGGAGCACACGCCGCUGAGGUUAGUUGGGUGAAUUCCCCUGGCACAUGAUAGGUAUGCAUGGAGGAAAAAACAACGCCACCCUGGUCUACGUUCCCUCCCUGUGAUUAGGCAGCCUGGCUCCCCCACACGUACGAGCCUCUCCCCCAGCACUCCGACCGAGGCAGCUGUUUCCUUGCUCCUGACAGCAGCGGGGAAAGAUCCGUCCCUCUUCCUUCCGCCUCCCUGUUAAUGGCUGAUCGGCUGUUAGCGUAGGAAAGUCGGCAGGGCACCCUCAGGUCCCGUGAGCUGCACAGAGAGCGGUCAGCGUGAGUCCACCCCAGAAGCCAGCUGUCUUAUGCAACCUGCAUGAAACUCCUCUGCUACGUAGGCCUUUCUCCUUUCGUGUGGCUUACUAAAACCAGUUACAAAUGACUUUACUUUGGAUAACCUUUCAAAUGAUCACUUUUGAAUAAAAUCCUUCCUGAAUAACUGCCGAAAAGUUUGUCGUGGUCGUAUGGUCUGGCUGCACGAUACUUGUGAGAACAUGCUUUAAUGACAGCCAUUGCAUCGUGCCGUCCCCACAGCUUGUGCCCGUUUUCAUUUUGCAGCCUUGAUGGACGAGCAUCUGCUCUGCAUUCACUUUAUUAGAGUUGAUUGUUUCGCUCUGUAUUGGCAGCUGGGCAGCUGCCUUUGUUCCUAGCAGGUAAUACCUAUGUGGAAGAGCCAGUUUCUGAGUUCCAUCUCGGUCACUCUCCAACAUCUUGCUAGGCAGAGAGCCGGCUGGUAACAGGAACAAUCCAGAGCAAAGGCAGCUACCUUGAUUCUAGCUGGCCUCUUUUAUAUUCGAUGGGACAAAGUGGGCAUGUUCUAAUCAGCAAGGCUGGAAGGUGCCUGAACUGCUCCUUCCAUCCCACAAAACUGCAUCAGGGUAGCGUGCAGAACUCCUUGCAGUCGGAUCUGCCUUUGCUUUGGCCACUGCCAAGAGCUCCACUGGCGGUAUGGUCAUUUAAAAGGCUGCUUCCCAAUUUAGAUUUGUGCUGCUUUCUUUUUUGUAUCCUCCCACCUCCAGCACAGUUUUGAAAUCUUUUGUCUGGCCAUGACUCAGCUGAAAACGGAGCCAUCAUCACGUGGCUUCAUGGAGAGUCCCUUUGCUUCUUGGAAGUGGGCAUUUCAGCAUCUGCCUGGAACACUGAAGAGCUGUGUGUUUGUGCAGGGUGUGUUUUCUACAGGAACCAUGUAGAUUUCCCAUGUUACAUGGAAGGGACAGCAUCUUUCCCUGGUAGCUAGCUUCUGUUCCAAAGCCUGCUGAUCCUAAAAGCGGACUGAAUAGCAGAAAGCACUUGUUGAGGCCAUCUUGCGAAGGAUAAGAAGGAAGGAAACAAAGGAAAGCCAGUCAUUCUUCCUUUCCAGCGCUCAGAGGAACGCUCCUCUUUUGCUCUUCAAAUGAAUUGCUUACUGCUUCUUAGUGGCCGUCUUCACACUUGAGUUUGCUCGGCAGGAGCCGCUCAACACUGGAUGGCAUUCCUGUACACGAACACAGGGUACUUGACCAAAGAGCUUUGGUUUACAUUCCGGACUGUCAUUAGAUAGCUCCUCUUAAAAUAUUUAUUUAAAUCUUUUCUCUCCAAUUAUUGCUUUGAUAUUUUGAAGUAAAAUGUGUGUAAGCACUGACUUCCAGACAGCUAGAAGCCAGCUAUCCUGUGCAACUGAAAACACAUUUGAACAGGCAAGCAGGUGAGCGUGUUGAAUCCCACCUGCCGUAGCCAGACCAUUUCUAUUGGUGGAAAAGUGGAGAUGGGAUAAUAAGGGGAUGCUUGCUUGUCAUAUUUUCCGCUUUCUCACAAAAGUAACCAGAUUUAGAGGUGGAAAAGCACAAUAUUGUCUCUCUUUCUUGGGCAUUAGGUUCAGCUAUAGCUGUUUGAUCCUUGCCUCUAAUCACUGCGUAGAAGAGUGGUUGGUGCUUAUAGAAUAUGUUUGGGGAGUGGGAUUAAAUUACCAAUCCCACUAAUUAAAUUACCAGUCCCACUAAUCCAAAAAAGCUUGGAUUAGCAUUGAUAGCAAAUUAUGUAGCAAUGCCAAAUAAGUCUCAGGUCUGGGAAGAGUCUGAUAUCAGAGGCAAAACUUGAAGUUUGCAGCUUCCACAGGGGCUGCUGUAGCAGCAAUAUGUAAGUAGCUGGACUCUGCUAACUCUGCUACUGGGACUGGAGAGACGUGGGUUCAAGUCCCCGCUUGUCCAUGAAGCUCACUGCGUAAUUUUGGGCUCUAGGCUAAUCUAAUUUACAAGCUUGUUGUAUGAAUAAUGCGGUUAUUAUUGAAGUAUACUAAGCUGAAUGUUCUUAGUCACAUAUCCUGCUAUGGUGUGCUUAGCUAUUGAACAUGGUUCCAUCAAUGUCCACCCUUUUAGCAGGUCUAGUGCAAUUGGAAUUUAAUAAGCUGAAGUAGGUAAGGUUUGUUGAAUUCACCCUAAAUUUUUUAAAUUUUAAAAAUUUAAAAAUUUUUAGAUGUUUGUUCAAGACAGGAAUAUGUGGAAAUGCCACUGUUUUUAAGACACACGCAGCAGGGAUAUUUGGGGUGCAAUCCUACGCAUGUUUAGACAGAAGACAAGGCCUACAACUCCUGGCAUUCUGCAGACGUCCAUGCUUUCUGGGCAAUGCUGGAGUUUAUUGAUGCUUUUUGAACGUGUGCUGGACUGUACCCAUGGUAGUGCAACUGAUUUUAGUUCCCUCAAGUAGAGCUGUAACUGCAAAACCUUUUAACACUCCAGACAUGCUGGUUGAACCAAGUGAUAAUAAUAUGUUGUACUGACAAUAUAUUUUCUCUUUCAACCGACUAUCUUAUCUAUUCAUAUUGGUGCUGCCCAAAUAUUUGAGAUUCUUUAAAGUAAGACCCUUUAAAGACCUAGAAUUAUAUUCAAAGGAUCUCAUAUGCUGCUUGCAUGAUAGCAAUGUGUUUUCAGUUGCACAAAAUACAACUGUGCAACUGAAAACACAUCUUUACAGAAGCAGCUAUUUAUUUGUGAGUUUAAUUUGUACUCUGUCUUUCUACCAAGAAAAUGACACUUCAAAUUCUGGGUUGCUUGUCAAAAUGAUAAGAUUCAGAGACCAGAUUAUAUGGUAAAAAGAUAUUUCAACUUCUAAUUAGCAUGCACUUCUUUUGUCUUUUCCCCUAAUAUUACUUAAAUUGUGGAUACUUUUUAGAAUGUAGGCCACUUAAUAGCCACUUAAAGGUGUAUUACCAUGUAGCAAUUGCUUUUGAAGAUUUAUUUUCUUUUCUGUACUUGAAUUCAGUUUAUGCUAUAAAUUUAUUCUUAAGAUCCUGAAAUUAAAUUGGGGUGAUAUGGCUGAAGGAAAAACAGCUGCACAUAGCAGUUCUAGUAUUAUUUACUUAUUGAUUUAUUUAAUACAUUUCUGUACCUCCACAUUAGCCUGUAGGGCUCUCUGGGCGGUUUACAAUUAUAACAGGUAAAUCAGUUUAAAAUAAAUAAAACAUUUUUAAAGAAUAAAACAUAAUAAACCAAUACAAUAAUGGGUUUGGCAACAACAAUAUAUAAAAUAACUCUGCACUGAGGAGAUCUUAAUAACACCAUUAAGGCAGCUAACUAUUAAAAAUAUUUCUUGAAUGAAAAGCUCUUGAGAGGACAACAAGGACUUCAGUAGCCUUGAGCUGAGGCAACCUGGCUAGUCAGUGUGUUCUGCAGUGACUCUGAGUGUCCUUCCCAUCCUUUAGAGUUAUGGGAAGGAACAGCUUCAGGCCCUGGGCAUAAAGAGUUAAUGAGAAUUGUAUGCAGGUCCGUGUGGGGCUCUCAGGCUCAGGUCCUUUUGUCUGUGAGCAAAAGCCCUUGUGCUUUUCAAUGUCUCUGUCAAAAGAGAAUAGUGGCAACAGAAGGGAUGCCCUUAGAAGUGAUUUCGGAACAAAUGCAAAAAGUCUUUAUUCACAACAAUUGACUAGAAUGUGCUUGAAAUUCUAAAUAUUAUCUCGGAAGUCUAGAGGACAGGCUUAAGUCUAGACACUGAGAGAAUUUAGUUUGCUAAAAAUUAUCCUGUUGUUGAUUUGGGCCUAGAAAAAUAAGCAUUUCACUUGCUGGAUAAUGGUUUCUCCUGGUAGCUAAAUACUAAUGGAUAAAUUUAGAGCAUAAGCGAGAUGCUGAUGAAAAGCCCAACUUUAGUUGAUGAGAAAAUGGAAAGUCAAUAAAUGCCUGUCGCUCCGUUGCCCUGUGUUAUAUCUGGUCUCUUGAUUAAUUUUUUCUCCUACCUGAUCUGACUGCAGAUUUUUUUUGAAAGGGUUUCUUGAUAAUGCCAAUGAAUGAGUGAAUAUUUCGUAUGCAUCACAGGCUGGCAUAUCAACAUUCAAGGCAGAAAACAGAGGAUGGUAAUUCCUACAAUCUAUUCUUACCUGUCAGAUGCUUUUCUAACUCAAAUGUUAGCAGUUGAUCAACACAUUUUGGUUCUGUAAAUUGAAACAUUUGUCUAAAGUGAGACUGGACAACAUAGUUGAUUAGUGAAUUCAGUUUCAGCAAAAACUCUUCACAUGGUCUCUCAUAGGGUUACAUGAGGGUUGUUUAACCCUUGAAUGACCCUGGCCAGGUUCACAGGGCAACCCCCAGUUGGGAGGGGGUAUAAUGGGGGAUGACUGCUGCAGCCCCUGAAGAGUUAAUUAUCCCAUAAUAGACCACUGUGUCAUUUGAACGAGGCACUGUCUGGAUAUUUUGUCUGUCUGUGUCCCUCCUCUUCUCCUCAAGCAAGGGUUUUGAACAUCGUACAGCCAGCAGGCUGGUGUCCAUUUUGGCGAUGUUUUUGGAGGGCCACAUUCUGCUUGUGGGCGCAGUCAGCACCAGGAGGGGCAGAGCCAGAAUGCCCAUGCAUUUUAGCUUGGGAGCCAACCUGUGGUCCUGGGGUGAGCAUCCGGGGGUCACCGGAGGGCUCAGCCAGCCACCUUUGGGGUUGAGAGCAUCACCUGGCCCUGGAAGGAGGCGUUGACCCGCACCUACGAGCUGCAGCCGGGACCAACCGCCCUCUUCCUCCCUGUCUGCAGCAGGGGCUGCAGGCCUCUCUCUCCUUUCAUCACCAUGCCGGAAGAGGCCUUCAGCGCAAGGUGCUGCAUGGCAGUGGCCCCAGAGGCAGCGCAUCCCACGCCACACCUCCUGACUGCGAGGAAGAGCCCCUCUCCGCAAGGCAGGGCCAAGCUCUCCGGCCAGCCGGACUGGCCGCUGGCUCUUCUGGCGAGUCUCUGCCACCUGCUCUCUGAAGCGAGGGAUUUAUCCGGCCUCUGGUGCUCGCGGCAUCUCUCCCUCUUCAGGCUUCCAUGCUGCUCCAGACUUCUACGUCAACGUCUCACGGGAUAUUUCCUUGUCAGAUGGGUCAUUUGGAGAACGGUGCAACGAGUCCCAGUAAUUCUUCGGAGCAGCAGUGGGCACAACCCAGGCAGCGUGUUUGUGUGUGCCGGUGCUUUUGCUUGGUCAACAGGCAGCUGACAGUGCCCAGUAAUGGAGGCAGCUGUAAACAUUCUCCAUUUGGCAGGAGGGAGGGUCCCUGGGAAUGCUGCUGAGCCAGCCAAAUCCUUAUUGUGAUGGGCAGGGAAGGCCUGGAGACUCACCAUUCUCUUGAUUAUACGCUACAUGUGGCUUUUGUGAUAGCUGAAAACAUGUGAGUCUGACAGAGUUGAGCUGCUCAGUCUUGCCCUCUGGGAGGAUAAAGGUAUGAUAGGAGGGAGGGUGGAUUAUAACAUUUAAUAAAUAACCUACUGAUCAAGGUGGAUCUUAGUUUGAUGAUUGCAAGCUAUUUAUGCCAUUGCAAUCUUACUAGUGGCUUGCUUUCAGUAUAGUGAAGCCUUUUGAUUCAAAUUGGGAAUUCAGAUUCUUGUUGGAAGGAAAGGAGCAUUUUCCGAUUGUUCUUCUAGCUAGGCAGUGAUUGUGAUUUUUAAAAAACAAAUCUUAACAUCUAAGCGUGAGCAGGCAUUUGUGAAGUUGUAUAGUCAACUGCAACAAGAAUCAGUUCCGCUCAGUAGCUGUACUCUUGUGAACGGGAUGCCUGGGUCCUUGGAAACGGUCCCUUCCCCUUUCUUCUUCCUUGUGCCACAUAAAUCUAGUAUGAUAUGAAGUAAGUUUGACCGUCUGCCUCACUCCUUGUAGGGAUGGGAGUUGUAAACCUGUCAUUACUUUUAAGAGCAGGCUACCUCCAUGUGUGGUACUUUUGCAAAGGAUAAGGAGAAACAAAAUAUUGUGUGUAUGUGUGAGAGAGUCAGAGAGAGAGAGAGAGAGAGAGAGAAUUGCCAGUAAACAGCCUUGGAGCACAGUACAGAGGUGGCUAUGUACAUAAGAGCUGAUGAAAAGGAAACUGGCCAACCCGAGUAAUAUAACAGGUUCUUGCUAAAUUACCUUUCAUAGAUUUAAGAAGGCUUCCUGGUUAACGGGGUUUGAUUAAGAUAAAUACUAGGACUAUUUGUGCUGUUUCUAAAUAAAAAAUAAAAACAAAGCAGAGGUCAUUAGCUCUUAUAGUGAUAGCUGUGCUUGUUUUGCAAUGGGUUGAACAAGAGACCAUGGUAAACCUUUUUCUAGUACAUCUACAGACCUUGCUGGAUAAUUUUCCCAUGACUUUGUUCUCCAUGGCGCUGAUGUUCUAUAUCUCAGGAAAUUCCUGGUCUGGCAUUUGCUCAAAGCUGAAAUUUUUAUUUUAACAAUCACAACCACAUUUGUAUCCCGCCUUCACUCUUGAGCUGGGUGGUGGGAAUGUAUGAGCUUACGGCCUUUCACACGGCUAUCCUGUGCGAUCGGCAAAGCUGAGAAACAGCGACUCGGAUAUGCCUGCUCAGCUUUGUGGUUACGACUACGCAGCACAGUUUGAAUAUGAGUUUCCAACCCAAAUCCAAUGCUAUUGAUUGCAGCUGUGCCCCCACCCCUCCGGGUUAAGUUGUGUACCAUAUCACAACCCGUGUGCCCUCCCCAUUUUCUAUUUUUAUUUAUUUAUUUAUUUAUUAAAACAUUUCUGUGCCGCCCCUUGCCGAAGCCUCAGGGUGGCUUACAACACAAUAAAAUACAAUAAAAUACAAAAAUAAACAAUAUAAAAUUAAAAUUAACAUAAAAUAAAUAAACAAUAUAAAAGAUAAAAUAAAUAAACAAUAUAUAUUCUAUGCAUGCAAAGGAUUGUUUUUAUAAUCGGGUGUGGACUUCAGCAUUAAUAAACACUUGGAUAAUACUUUUGACAGAAGCCCCAUCUUCUUUGCACCUCAGUCAUUGUUACUGAUUGAAGGAAAAUGUCUCCUUUUGCCAUGACCGAAGCCACUGAGUGGAGUCGCCCAGGUUAAUACGUGCUUCAACAGAGAUGCGGCCAGACUUGAGGGCAGAGAUGGCCGCUUUACCGCACACUCGCUCCCACGGUGUGCUGAACCGUUUCUUGACUUUAAGAAGAAGAAUGAAGAUGACUGGUUUAUUCAACUAACAGGGCAUCUGUCCACGAGGAAUUGCUUCUUUUGGUAAAUAAAUAUAUCUGCCUCCCCGUG